rnacentral:rRNA from 1 species
GACGAACGCUGGCGGCGUGCUUAACACAUGCAAGUCGAACGGAAAGGCCCUGCUUUUGUGGGGUGCUCGAGUGGCGAACGGGUGAGUAACACGUGAGUAACCUGCCCUUGACUUUGGGAUAACUUCAGGAAACUGGGGCUCAUACCGGAUAGGAGCUCCUGCUGCAUGGUGGGGGUUGGAAAGUUUCGGCGGUUGGGGAUGGACUCGCGGCUUAUCAGCUUGUUGGUGGGGUAGUGGCUUACCAAGGCUUUGACGGGUAGCCGGCCUGAGAGGGUGACCGGCCACAUUGCGACUGAGAUACGGCCCAGACUCCUACGGGAGGCAGCAGUGGGGAAUAUUGCACAAUGGGCGGAAGCCUGAUACAGCAACGCCGCGUGCGGGAUGACGGCCUUCGGGUUGUAAACCGCUUUCGCCUGUGACGAAGCGUGAGUGACGGUAAUGGGUAAAGAAGCACCGGCUAACUACGUG